AAAGAAAGUAAGCAAGGGCGCAUGGCGGAUGCCUUGGCUCUCGGAGGCGAUGAAGGACGUGAUAAGCUGCGAUAAGCUUCGGGCAGGUGCAAAUAACCUUUGAUCCGAAGAUUUCCGAAUGGGACAACCCGUCAUUCUGAAGGAAUGACAUCUUGCAUAGCAAGAGGCUAACACAGGGAACUGAAACAUCUUAGUACCUGUAGGAAAAGAAAAUAAUAAUGAUUCCCCUAGUAGUGGCGAGCGAACGGGGAUUAGCCCAAACCAAUGUUGUUACGGCAAUAUUGGGGUUGUAGGACCACGAUAUCGCAAGAAGUUUAGUGAGAAGAACCCUUUGGAAAAUGGGACCAUAGACGGUGAUAGUCCGGUAUUCGAAGCUAAAUGAAGCGUAGUGGUAUCCUGAGUAGCGCGGGACACGAGGAAUCUUGCGUGAAUCUGCCGGGACCAUCCGGUAAGGCUAAAUACUCCCGAGAGACCGAUAGCGAACCAGUACUGUGAAGGAAAGGUGAAAAGCACUUCGAAUAGAAGAGUGAAAUAGUCCCUGAAACCGUGCGCCUACAAGCGGUCGGAGCUGCUUCAGCAGUGACGGCGUGCCUUUUGCAUAAUGAACCUACGAGUUACUUUUUCCGGCAAGGUUAAGGAUCUUGAGAUCCGCAGCCGAAGCGAAAGCGAGUCUUAACAGGGCGAUUAGUCGGAAGGAGUAGACGCGAAACCAAGUGAUCUACCCUUGGUCAGG
rnacentral:rRNA from 1 species